rnacentral:tRNA from 1 species
GGUGGUGUGGUGUAAUGGUAGCACGUGACGUUGUGGCUCAUCUCUAACGGGAUAUAUCACGAAUGGAUCCGUUUCAAUCUGGGUUCGAUUCCCAGCACCGCCA